ACGCUCGACACCUACGGGAGGCAGCAGUUGGGAAUAUUGGACAAUGGAGGGAACUCUGAUCCAGUGACGCCGCGUGAAGGAAGAAGGUCUUCUGAUUGUAAACUUAUUUUGUCAGGGAAGAAAAAUGACUGUACCUGAAGAAAAAGCACCGGCUAACUACGCGCCAGCAGUCGCGGUAAUCUGAGCGGGCUGGCAAGGC
rnacentral:rRNA from 1 species